AGUGAACGCUGGCGGUAGGCCUAACACAUGCAAGUCGAACGGAAGCACAGUAAGAGCUUGCUCUUACGGGUGGCGAGUGGCGGAUGGGUGAGGAAUACAUCGGCAUCUACUUUUUCGUGGGGGAUAACGUAGAGAAACUUCCGCUAAUACCGCAUAUGACCUACGGGUGAAAGCAGGGGAUCUUCGGACCUUGCGCGAUUGAAUGAGCCGAUGUCGGAUUAGCUAGUUGGCGGGGUAAAGGCCCACCAAGGCGACGAUCCGUAGCUGAUCUGAGAGGAUGAUCGGCCACACUGGAACUGAGACACGGUCCAGACUCCUACGGGAGGCAGCAGUAGGGAAUAUUGGACAAUGGGCGCAAGCCUGAUCCAGCCAUACCGCGUGAGUGAAGAAGGCCUUCGGAUUGUAAAGCCCUUUUGUUGGGAAAGAACAGCAGCAGAUUAAUACCCCGCUGUUCUGACGGUACCCAAAGAAUAAGCACCGGCUAACUUCGUG
rnacentral:rRNA from 1 species